rnacentral:rRNA from 1 species
CCUACGGGUGGCAGCAGUGAGGAAUAUUGGUCAAUGGCCGGAAGGCUGAACCAGCCAUGCCGCGUGAAGGUCAGUGCCCUAUGGGCGUUAAACUUCUUUUGUGCGGGAGCAAUAAUGGUCACGUGUGGCCAGACGAGAGUACCGUACGAAUAAGCAUCGGCUAACUCCGUGCCAGCAGCCGCGGUAAGACGGGUGGUGCAAGCGUUAUCCUGAUUUAUUGGGUUUAAAGGGUGCGUAGGCUGUGAGGUAAGUCAGCGGUGAAAUGCCCCCGCUCAACGGGGUGAAGUGCCAUGGAUACUGCCUGGCUGGAAUGCGGAUGCCGUGGGAGGAAUGUGUGGUGUAGCGGUGAAAUGCAUAGAUAUCACACAGAACACCGAUUGCGAAGGCAUCUCACGAAUCCGCGAUUGACGCUGAUGCACGAAAGCGUGGGUAUCAAACAGGAUUAGAUACCCCAGUAGUC